rnacentral:rRNA from 1 species
UACGUAGGGUGCGAGCGUUAAUCGGAAUUACUGGGCGUAAAGCGUGCGCAGGCGGUUGUGCAAGACAGAGGUGAAAUCCCCGAGCUUAACUUGGGAACUGCCUUUGUGACUGCAUGGCUAGAGUGUGUCAGAGGGGGGUAGAAUUCCACGUGUAGCAGUGAAAUGCGUAGAGAUGUGGAGGAACACCGAUGGCGAAGGCAGCCCCCUGGGUCAAGAUUGACGCUCAUGCACGAAAGCGUGGGGAGCAAACAGG